rnacentral:rRNA from 1 species
GUCUAUGGCCAUACCACUCUGAAUGUGCCCGAUCCUGUCUGAUUUCAGAAACUAAGCAGGGUCGGCCUGGUUAGUACUUGGAUGGGAGACCACCUAGGAAUACCAGUUGCUGUAAGCU